UACGAAGGGGGCUAGCGUUGCUCGGAAUCACUGGGCGUAAAGGGUGCGUAGGCGGGUCUUUUAAGUCAGGGGUGAAAUCCUGGAGCUCAACUCCAGAACUGCCCUUGAUACUGGGGAUCUUGAGUCCGGAAGAGGUGAGUGGAACUCCGAGUGUAGAGGUGAAAUUCGUAGAUAUUCGGAAGAACACCAGUGGCGAAGGCGGCUCACUGGUCCGGUACUGACGCUGAGGUGCGAAAGCGUGGGGAGCAAACAGG
rnacentral:rRNA from 1 species